rnacentral:rRNA from 1 species
CUAAUACAUGCAAGUCGAACGAACUCUGGUAUUGAUUGGUGCUUGCAUCAUGAUUUACAUUUGAGUGAGUGGCGAACUGGUGAGUAACACGUGGGAAACCUGCCCAGAAGCGGGGGAUAACACCUGGAAACAGAUGCUAAUACCGCAUAACAACUUGGACCGCAUGGUCCGAGUUUGAAAGAUGGCUUCGGCUAUCACUUUUGGAUGGUCCCGCGGCGUAUUAGCUAGAUGGUGGGGUAACGGCUCACCAUGGCAAUGAUACGUAGCCGACCUGAGAGGGUAAUCGGCCACAUUGGGACUGAGACACGGCCCAAACUCCUACGGGAGGCAGCAGUAGGGAAUCUUCCACAAUGGACGAAAGUCUGAUGGAGCAACGCCGCGUGAGUGAAGAAGGGUUUCGGCUCGUAAAACUCUGUUGUUAAAGAAGAACAUAUCUGAGAGUAACUGUUCAGGUAUUGACGGUAUUUAACCAGAAAGCCACGGCUAACUACGUGCCAGCAGCCGCGGUAAUACGUAGGUGGCAAGCGUUGUCCGGAUUUAUUGGGCGUAAAGCGAGCGCAGGCGGUUUUUUAAGUCUGAUGUGAAAGCCUUCGGCUCAACCGAAGAAGUGCAUCGGAAACUGGGAAACUUGAGUGCAGAAGAGGACAGUGGAACUCCAUGUGUAGCGGUGAAAUGCGUAGAUAUAUGGAAGAACACCAGUGGCGAAGGCGGCUGUCUGGUCUGUAACUGACGCUGAGGCUCGAAAGUAUGGGUAGCAAACAGGAUUAGAUACCCUGGUAGUCCAUACCGUAAACGAUGAAUGCUAAGUGUUGGAGGGUUUCCGCCCUUCAGUGCUGCAGCUAACGCAUUAAGCAUUCCGCCUGGGGAGUACGGCCGCAAGGCUGAAACUCAAAGGAAUUGACGGGGGCCCGCACAAGCGGUGGAGCAUGUGGUUUAAUUCGAAGCUACGCGAAGAACCUUACCAGGUCUUGACAUACUAUGCAAAUCUAAGAGAUUAGACGUUCCCUUCGGGGACAUGGAUACAGGUGGUGCAUGGUUGUCGUCAGCUCGUGUCGUGAGAUGUUGGGUUAAGUCCCGCAACGAGCGCAACCCUUAUUAUCAGUUGCCAGCAUUAAGUUGGGCACUCUGGUGAGACUGCCGGUGACAAACCGGAGGAAGGUGGGGAUGACGUCAAAUCAUCAUGCCCCUUAUGACCUGGGCUACACACGUGCUACAAUGGAUGGUACAACGAGUUGCGAACUCGCGAGAGUAAGCUAAUCUCUUAAAGCCAUUCUCAGUUCGGAUUGUAGGCUGCAACUCGCCUACAUGAAGUCGGAAUCGCUAGUAAUCGCGGAUCAGCAUGCCGCGGUGAAUACGUUCCCGGGCCUUGUACACACCGCCCGUCACACCAUGAGAGUUUGUAACACCCAAAGUCGGUGGGGUAACCUUUUAGGAACCAGCCGCCUAAGGUGG